AAAAAAAAAAAAAAAUUAUAACAAAAGAAGGAAAAAUAAAAGAAGAAUGCAGAUGCUGGCAUUUGACCCCAGGAACAAUGACACUGACAAGGUGCAAAAAUUGGAAAACUAUGUGUUUUCCACUUUGCAAUUUAACAAGUAGUGUGACAGAGAGACAUGGAAAGCUAUUUGUAGUUGUUUUCUAAGCAUUAUUUUAAAUUUGGAAAUUUUGGAAAAUUGGUUUCUAUUUUCUAUUGGGAGAAUUUUUAUAACUAAAAACUAAAUUCCAUUUUUUUUAGUUUUCUUAGAAUUAUUUUCAGAAAAACUUGUCUUGUUUUUCAUAACUAAACAAGCCUUCAAUUAUUUCAAGAGCUAAAAAUAACAUCUAGGUUCUGUUUAUAAAAAAUAUUUUCCAUAAAAAU
rnacentral:misc_RNA from 1 species